GGCCCCAGGUCAGGCGUGAGUACCCGCUGAGUUUAAGCAUAUCACUAAGCGGAGGAAAAGAAACUUACCAGGAUUCCCCUAGUAACGGCGAGCGAACCGGGAAGAGCCCAGCAUGAAAAUCGGCCGAUCUACGCGCCGA
rnacentral:rRNA from 2 species